AUUGAACGCUGGCGGCAUGCUUUACACAUGCAAGUCGAACGGCAGCGCGGGGCAACCUGGCGGCGAGUGGCGAACGGGUGAGUAAUAUAUCGGAACGUACCCAGAAGUGGGGGAUAACGUAGCGAAAGUUACGCUAAUACCGCAUACGAUCUACGGAUGAAAGUGGGGGACCUUCGGGCCUCAUGCUUGUGGAGCGGCCGAUAUUUGAUUAGCUAGUUGGUAGGGUAAAGGCCUACCAAGGCGACGAUCAGUAGCUGGUCUGAGAGGACGACCAGCCACACUGGGACUGAGACACGGCCCAGACUCCUACGGGAGGCAGCAGUGGGGAAUUUUGGACAAUGGGCGCAAGCCUGAUCCAGCAAUGCCGCGUGAGUGAAGAAGGCCUUCGGGUUGUAAAGCUCUUUUGUCAGGGAAGAAACGGGAUUGGCUAAUAUCUAGUCCUAAUGACGGUACCUGAAGAAUAAGCACCGGCUAACUACGUGCCAGCCGCCGCCGUAACAC
rnacentral:rRNA from 1 species